AUCGGGCCCGGGGAUGGCUGGUUCUGCCCGAAAAAGCUUUAGGGCUGGCGUCAAGUUGGGAGAGACGGCAGUGUAGAACUGAAGGUCCUAUGGGGCAUUGCAACUACCGAAGACUAUCAAACUCCGAAUGCCGUCAUCUUAUACUUGGGAGUCAGAGUGUGGGUGAUAAGAUUCAUAGUCGAAAGGGCAACAGCCCAGAUCGCCAGCUAAGGUCCCUAAAUGUAAGUUAAGUGGUAAAGGAUGUGGGAUUGCACAGACAACCAGGAUGUUGGCUUAGAAGCAGCCACCCAUUCAACGAGUGCGUAAUAGCUCACUGGUCGUGUGAUCCUGCGCCGAUGAUUUCCGGGGCUAAAACUUACUACCGAAGCUUCGGCAUCAGUCAUGAUCGGUAUGGGCUCUUUCCAUUAGGGUUGAAGCUGCACCGUAAGGCAUGU
rnacentral:rRNA from 1 species